rnacentral:lncRNA from 1 species
NNNNNNNNNNNNNNNNNNNNNNNNNNNNNGUGGGGACCGACCCCAUUGUGGUAUGGGGACAUGGGGAGUGACGCCAUCGUGUUAUGGGGACAUGAGGACCGACCCCCAUCGUGGUGUUGGGACACAGGAACAAGGGCUCCGACCCCAUCGUGUUAUGGGGACACGAGGACCGACCCCCAUCGUGGUGUUGGGACACAGGAACAAGGGCUCCGACCCCAUCGUGUUAUGGGGACACGAGGACCGACCCCCAUCGUGGUGUUGGGACACAGGAACAAGGGCUCCGACCCCAUCGUGUUAUGGGGACACGAGGACCGACCCCCAUCGUGGUGUUGGGACACAGGAACAAGGGCUCUGACGCCAUCGUGUUAUGGGGACACGAGGACCGACCCCCAUCGUGGUGUUGGGACACAGGAACAAGGGCUCCGACCCCAUCGUGGUGUUGGGACACGGGAACAAGGGCUCCGACCCCCGCGGGGUCAGGAACAAGGGCUCCGACCCCAUCGUGUUAUGGGGACACGAGGACCGACCCCCAUCGUGGUGUUGGGACACAGGAACAAGGGCUCCGACCCCAUCGUGUUAUGGGGACACGAGGACCGACCCCCAUCGUGGUGUUGGGACACAGGAACAAGGGCUCCGACCCCAUCGUGGUGUUGGGACACGGGAACAAGGGCUCCGACCCCGUCGUGGUAUGGGGAUGUGGGGACUGACCCCAUCGUGGUGGUGGGACACAGGAACAAGGGCUCCGACCGCAUCGUGGUAUGGGGAUGCUGGGAUUGACCCCCAUCCUGGCAAAGGGACAUGGAAACAUGGGAGCCAACCCCAUCGUGUUAUGGGGACACGGGGCCCGACCCCAUCGUGGUGUGGGGACGCAGUCAUCGACUGCAUCCUGGUGUUGCAAUGUGAGGAGCGACCCCCCAUCAUGGUGUGGGGACGCGGGGACCGACCGCAUCGUGGUAUGGGGAUGUGGGGACCAACCCCAUCCUGGUGUGGGGUCAUGGGGAUCGACCCCAUCAUGGUGUGGGAAUGUGGGGACCGACCCCUUUGUGGAAUGGGGAUGUGGGGAUCGACUCCAUCCUGGUGUGGGGAUGUGAGGAGUGACCCCAUUAUGGUGUGGGGAUGCAGGGACCAACCCCAUCGUGGUAUGGGGAUGUGGGGACCAACCCCAUCCUGGUGUGGGGACAUGGGAACAAAGGGACGGCCCCAUCGUGGCGUAGGGACACGGGGACUGACCCAGCCCGGUGUGGGGAUACAGGUGACGCGGGAUCCCUCCCCAUCCCACCGCAGCCACCACGAGUCCCACAGCCCCCCAGCCCCACACCUUGGUUUCCGGGGC